AUCGAAAGCGCAGACAAAUUAUUCGACAUACUCUCCAUAAGCCAUCGCUGAAGGAAACAUGUUCUCUCGAUGAGGAAGUACCAUCUACUAGUGAUGGAGCUGAGCUUGUUGAAGUAUGCACUGGGGAAGCAAACGAUUCGCCAUUUGAAGAAGAACUACAUGCAGUUGGUGAAGAUAUUUGUGAAUCCCAGUCUCCAUGUAAAUCGUGCCAUCGUCUUAAGAAAAAACUUACAUCUUUACAAAAGACUUUAAGCUGGUAUAAAAGACUUUAAGCUGCACUUUAUCCGUGCUUGGAACAGCAAAGACAGCAGUUACAAGACCUAACAGAUGAUGCAGAUCAAAUAUUAAAUAGCUCUGGGAAUAAAAGUACGCGCAAAUGUACUAAAUGCAAAGCUCCAAUGAAAGGACAUCCUCGAGGUCAAUGCUUCACUGAAAAAGAAUAAAUUGAAGUUGGUAGAUGAUAGGGCAGUGGUCAGACAUUGCUUGGAGCCUGUCUGGAAUGGAGAAGUAAGGCACCUCCUUCCCACCACCAGCCUGAGGGUUCACCUUAGGCAAGUGAUAGUACCCUCUAGCCUCCCUAUCUGGGCACUGAUAUACACACCUUUCCUGAUGAUUACAGUAUUAAUAUAACAUUGAAUGUUUAAUGCUCAACAUGCCCUUUGUGGAUGCAGUGCACUCAAGUGUGAAGACCUUAUAAGAUAAGUUCAUGUGGCUUGCUAUUUUCCAUUUUUACAUUUAUGCUAUGAUUUAAUUCCAUAUAAUUUUUCUUUUUUUUUCCCAAACUGACAUUGAAGAAAAGAUUUUCUUUACCGUAUAGUGCAUCCAUGUAUCUCCUCUUUGGUUUUCAUCUAGGCAUAUUUCCUGACCAUUCUAAACUC